AUUUUUUAAAAUACUUUUAUUUACUCUCAAAUAAAAUCACAACUGAUGUUCUGAAAGUUAAAACAGUAGUUGCUGCUGAGCCACACAGAUCUAUGUAUAUUCACACUGUACUACGCACAUUACACUCUGCAGCAAACUUGCUGAACAAAAGAGAAGUAACAGGACCAAAAACAAAAGUGAUCACUUGAACACAUCACAGCUCACUCAGAUCAUACGCUCUAUAUAUUAUGCUUACAUAUCAGAAGUGGUCAAUUUGAAUGGAAUGUUCAAAGGGUACAAGUGGGUUUGUAAGGAGGAAAUAAAGUGAUGCCCCUAUUCUCAACUUUAGAUCCCUUGAUAUUGUCUAAAUAGAAAGUAACAAAGAAGCUAAAAAAAAAAUAA